rnacentral:rRNA from 1 species
AUUGAACGCUGGCGGCAGGCCUAACACAUGCAAGUCGAACGAGUGGCGGACGGGUGAGUAAUGUCUGGGAUACUGCCUGAUGGAGGGGGAUAACUACUGGAAAAGGUAGUUAUUACCGCAAACCAUCAGAAGUGUCCAGAUGGUAAUAGCUUGUAGGUGGGGUAAUGGAUCACCGAGGCGACGAUCCCUAGGUGGUCUGAGAGGGUGACCAGCCACACUGGAACUGAGACACGGUCCAGACUCCUACGGGAGGCAGCAGUGGGGAAUAUUGCACAAUGGGCGCAAGCCUGAUGCAGCCAUGCCGCGUGUGUGAAGAAGGCCUUCGGGUUGUAAAGUACUUUCAGCGAGGAGGCGUUACUCGCAGAAGAAGCACCGGCUAACUCCGUGCCAGCAGCCGCGGUAAUUC